UAUAAAAUAAAUUUUUUUUUAUAAAUUUGUUUUUUAAUUUAAUAUAUAAAUAAAUUUUAGUAAAAAAAUUAAUUUAUAAAAUUUAAAUAAUUUUAAAAUUAUAAAUAAAAAUUAAUUAAUAUAUAAAAUAGUUAUUUUAAUGAAAAUUAUUUACAGAAAUUUAAAAUAAAUAUUAAUAAAUAAAAGUGCCAGCAAUUGCGGUUAAACUUAGAAUAUAAAUAAAUUUAAUAUAAUUAUUAAAAAAAUAUUAUUAUUUAAAAUUUAUUAAAUUAAAAUUUUUAUUUAUGGUGAAAUAUAAUAAAAAUUAAAAAGAUUUAAUUAUUUUAGAUUAAAAAUAAAUUUAAAUAAAUUUAUUAAAAAAUUAGGAUUAGAUACCCUAUUAUUUUUAUGAAAAAUUUUUAAUUAAAUAUUAAAUGUAGAUCAUUAAAAAUAAAAAAUUUGGCGGUAUUUUAUAAUAUUAGAGGAACUUGUUAAAUAAUUGAUAAUCCACGAGUAGAGUUACUUAAUUAAAAUAUUUUUAUAUAUUGUUGUUUGAAAGUUAUAUUAAGAGAUAAAAAUUAAUAAAUUUAAUAUAUAAUUAUAAUUCAAAUCAAAAUGUAGAAUAAUUAAGAUUAUAAUGAGUUACAAUUAAUUUAAUUAAUUUAAAUAAGAUUUUAAUUAAAUUUUAUAUAAAUAUUGGAUUUAAAUGUAAACUUAUAUAAAUUUAUAGAUUGAAUUUUUUUUAAAAUAUGUACAAAUUGCCCGUCAUUUUCAUUAAAAUAAUUUGUGAGAAAAGUCGUAACAAAGUAAAUAUAUUGGAAGGUGUAUUUAGAAUUAAUAAUAAUUAAUAAAUU
rnacentral:ncRNA from 1 species